GGGACUUCACUGUUGACUCUGGCAGCAGCUUUCUGCUAGGCAGCAGAGAUUGCUGGCUUAGGGUUACAGCUGAGGGAUCAGGAUUGAACUGUUGGUGAAGCACAGCUGAUGAGCCAGGUUUGAGAUAGUGUUUCAGCACUGAAUAAUUUUGAGGCAUCUACUUGUAUGGUUGUGGAGCAGAGGCUGUAGCUGCAAUUUGGGUUAAAGCUUGAUCUUGCUGAGAGUGAAGCAUGCACUUACGCUAAUCUGGGUCUGGGGCUGCUGUUGGACCAGGACAGAUCUUACACAGAGAUGGUGGAAUAAAAGAACCAGAAGGCUAACCAGAGAUGGCAGAGAGAGCUGUUGAGCUCCAUUGUAAACUGAUGAGAGAAAUGUUUCCAGCCCAGCUCAAUAGUUCUGCAUCAGACAUGCUGUCUGUGAAUUUGUCUACCCUGUGUCUACUGCUCAUACUGUUUGCCUUUAAAAUCUGCUGUGACUACAUAUUCCACAAGUUCAUUACCUAUCAUGUGAAGUCUCUGAUUCUGGCAUGAAUCACAGUUCUGUGCCAUCCAGCUCUUCCCUGAGGUCUGCAUGGCUAGCAGUCAACCAGAGCAUGCUAUAAAGGGCAGGGGCAUUGAUCCAAGGAAGCAAUCAGGUACAUGUGUGAUUCUUUCUCCACAGAGCUCUCAAAAUCUAAUCAGAAAAGCUUUUUGGAACAUUCUUCCAAGAACUUUAAACAAUCUGGAGAAGACAAACAUUUCAUCAGAAUCUGAAUGUACAAAAAAAUAAAUUGAUUGCUACUA